rnacentral:rRNA from 1 species
UACAGAGGGGGCAAGCGUUUAUUCGGAAUUAUUGGGCGUAAAGGGCGCGUAGGCGGCUAUCCAAGUGGCGGGUGAAAUCCCUCGGCUUAACCGAGGAACUGCCUGCCAGACUGGAUGGCUCGAGACCGGGAGAGGUGAGUGGAAUUCCCAGUGUAGCGGUGAAAUGCGUAGAUAUUGGGAGGAACACCAGUGGCGAAGGCGGCUCACUGGACCGGUACUGACGCUGAGGCGCGAAAGCGUGGGGAGCAAACAGG